CUCUCCCUGGUAAGAGCCCGAUGGCAUGUCUUAUUGCCCUGUUCUGGUGCAACUCGAGUGAAGAUGGGCUUGAACCUGGGACACUCAAAGUCUCCUUAGCCAAGGCUCCCCCUCCUCUGAUUCACUACACCUGAUCCAAGGACAGGUGGAGGAGGAAGAAACAGCCCUUGGAGUCCGUCCCAACCCUCCUGCUCUGAUUAACGGCCGCCCCCUGCUCUCGAUUGUGUCAUGUGUAGAACAGGCUCGUGGAGCAAAUGAACAGUCCAGCAAUCCCAGGAUGGUCACACGCAGCCUAUGAAAUGCGAGCUGUAAAACAUCUGACGUGAAUGCGAGCCCUCCUCAGUCAGCGUGGAUUAGCAUGGCCUGAUUCUUUCCACGGCAGGCAAUCCUCACACCUCCCUCCGGUCACCCACGCCAAUGUCUUUUUAGAAAGUGGCAGAGUGUGAGCAAACAAGGAGAAAAGAUA